rnacentral:lncRNA from 1 species
AGAGAUUCACAUGGUGUUGCACAAGUACGUUUUGUGACAGGCAAUAAAAUUUUAAGAAUUCUUAAGUCUAAGGGACUUGCUCCUGAUCUUCCUGAAGAUCUCUACCAUUUAAUUAAGAAAGCAGUUGCUGUUCGAAAGCAUCUUGAGAGGAACAGAAAGGUAAGCUAAUAAAUAAAACCUGGUGCUAAGUAGGACUGCUUGUACUAAAUUUUUUCGGUAAAAUGUAAUGCAUCUGGUUUGAAUUAUCCAAGGCUUAGUACACAAACCAGUGUAGUGCUGCUUUGAAGUUCAAAUUCUAUCCAAAGAGAUUUUCAUUAUAGAAAGUGCAUGGUAGCUCUACAUUCUCUUAUUAAUGUUUGAUAAUGUUAGGUCAUUUUGGGUGGUUUUCUUGAAUUGCACCAAAUUUUAUUUUUAGGAUAAGGAUGCUAAAUUCCGUCUGAUUCUAAUAGAGAGCCGGAUUCACCGUUUGGCUCGAUAUUAUAAGACCAAGCGAGUCCUCCCUCCCAAUUGGAAAUAUGAAUCAUCUACAGCCUCUGCCCUGGUCGCAUAAAUUUGUCUGUGUACUCAAGCAAUAAAAUGAUUGUUUAACUAAAA